ACUAUCUUCUUGAGAAUGUGAAACAGGCAAGCCGUAUUCAAAGAUGGGGGCUCAAGGCAAUGAUGUGCAGCCGCUCAAGUCAAUGAGGUGCAGGCCAAAGGAAAUUCAAACACCACUGUAAAUCUACUUUACCACAUGCACGCACAAACUCCAUAUAUCUCUGUCCUCCUGCAUUAGAGAGAGAGAGAGAGAGAGAAAGACGGGGAGAAGGGAAAGAGAAAUGGGCAAGUGCGAAGGAAAGAGCUCAUGGCCGGAGUUGAAGGGAGCCAACGGUGUAGAUGCAGCGACAAUAAUCGAGAGAGAGAAUCCAACGGUGGAUACAGUGAUCGUGAAAGAAGGGACUCCUGUCACCAGGGAUUUUCGUUGCAACAGGGUUAGGGUUUGGGUUAACACAUAUGGGAUUGUGACACGUGUCCCAACUGCUGGGUAGAGCACUCCCAUCCCAGCAUUCCUCAUCAUAUGGUAAGAAUAAUUGGCCUAAAAUUAGGCUUCUAUCAAUAUGUAAAAUAAUGUAGACGUUCACAUCCAUGUAUGACGAUUAUCACACGAUGACUUAAUGGCAAUGACUCUUUUAUAAGGAGCUUUUCGUA